rnacentral:rRNA from 1 species
UUGGAUAACCGUGGUAAUUCUAGAGCUAAUACAUGCUAAAAACCCCAACUUCGGAAGGGGUGUAUUUAUUAGAUAAAAAACCAACGCCCUUCGGGGCUUCUUGGUGAUUCAUGAUAACUUCACGGAUCGCAUGGCCUUGCGCCGGCGACGGUUCAUUCAAAUUUCUGCCCUAUCAACUUUCGAUGGUAAGGUAUUGGCUUACCAUGGUUUCAACGGGUAACGGGGAAUUAGGGUUCGAUUCCGGAGAGGGAGCCUGAGAAACGGCUACCACAUCCAAGGAAGGCAGCAGGCGCGCAAAUUACCCAAUCCCGACACGGGGAGGUAGUGACAAUAAAUACUGAUACAGGGCUCUUUUGGGUCUUGUAAUUGGAAUGAGUACAAUUUAAACCUCUUAACGAGGAACAAUUGGAGGGCAAGUCUGGUGCCAGCAGCCGCGGUAAUUCCAGCUCCAAUAGCGUAUAUUAAAGUUGUUGCAGUUAAAAAGCUCGUAGUUGAAACUUGGGUCUGGCUGGCAGGUCCGCCUCACCGCGUGUACUUGUCCGGCCGGGCCUUUCCUUCUGGAGAACCUCAUGCCCUUCACUGGGCGUGUUGGGGAACCAGGACUUUUACUUUGAAAAAAUUAGAGUGUUCAAAGCAGGCCUUUGCUCGAAUACGUUAGCAUGGAAUAAUAGAAUAGGACGUGCGGUCCUAUUUUGUUGGUUUCUAGGACCGCCGUAAUGAUUAAUAGGGACAGUCGGGGGCAUCAGUAUUCAAUUGUCAGAGGUGAAAUUCUUGGAUUUAUUGAAGACUAACUACUGCGAAAGCAUUUGCCAAGGAUGUUUUCAUUAAUCAGUGAACGAAAGUUAGGGGAUCGAAGACGAUCAGAUACCGUCGUAGUCUUAACCGUAAACUAUGCCGACUAGGGAUCGGGCGAUGUU